UUUUUGUUAAUAAUUUAAAGUCUGACCUGCCCACUGAAUAUUUUGAAGGGCCGCAGUAUUUUGACUGUGCAAAGGUAGCAUAAUCAUUUGCCUUUUAAUUGGAGGCUGGAAUGAAUGGUUGGACGAGGUGUAAUCUGUCUCAUUUUAAUAAUUUUAAAAAUUUAUCUUUUCAGUUAAAAGGCUGAAAUUUUUUUGGAGGACGAGAAGACCCUAUAGAUCUUUAUAUUUUUAUUUAUAAUUUUUUUUAGAUUUAUAUUUAUUUUUUUAAGUUUAAAUAUUUUGUUGGGGUGACAUUAAGAUUAAUAAAACUCUUAUAUAUUAUUUAACAUUAAUUUAUGACUAUUUGAUCCAUUCUUAUUGAUUAAUAGAAUAAGUUACCUUAGGGAUAACAGCGUAAUUUUAUUGGAGAGUUCUUAUCGAUAAUAAAGGUUGCGACCUCGAUGUUGAAUUAAAGAUACUUUUUGGCGCAGAAGUUAGAUAAAGUGGGUCUGUUCGACCUUUAAAUCUUU
rnacentral:rRNA from 1 species